rnacentral:rRNA from 1 species
UACGGAGGGGGCAAGCGUUGUUCGGAAUUACUGGGCGUAAAGGGCGCGUAGGCGGCCAUCUAAGUCAGACGUGAAAUCCCCCGGCUUAACCUGGGAACUGCGUCUGAUACUGGACGGCUUGAGUAUGGGAGAGGGAUGUAGAAUUCCAGGUGUAGCGGUGAAAUGCGUAGAUAUCUGGAGGAAUACCGGUGGCGAAGGCGGCAUCCUGGACCAUUACUGACGCUGAGGCGCGAAAGCUAGGGGAGCAAACGGG